rnacentral:rRNA from 1 species
UGAGUGCGAGCGGCUACGGCCGCGAAGUGGGUGAUGUCAAGCUUCCAAGAAAAGCCCUAUACCCGUUAAGGCAUGAUGGCCUGUACCCGAAACCGACACAGGUGGGGUGGUAGAGAAUACCGAGGGGCGCGAGGUAACUCUCUCUAAGGAACUCGGCAAAAUGGCCCCGUAACUUCGGGAGAAGGGGUGCCACCGCAAGGUGGUCGCAGUGAAGAGGCCCAGGCGACUGUUUACCAAAAACACAGGUCUCCGCUAAGUCGCAAGACGAUGUAUGGGGGCUGACGCCUGCCCAGUGCCGGAAGGUUAAGGAAGCUGGUCAGCGCAAGCGAAGCUGGCGACUGAAGCCCCGGUGAACGGCGGCCGUAACUAUAACGGUCCUAAGGUAGCGAAAUUCCUUGUCGGGUAAGUUCCGACCCGCACGAAAGGCGUAACGAUCUGGGCGCUGUCUCGGAGAGAGGCUCGGCGAAAUAGAAUUGUCUGUGAAGAUGCGGACUACGUGCACCCGGACAGAAAGACCCUAUGAAGCUUUACUGUAGCUUGGUAUUGUGCCCGGGCUCUGAAUGCGCAGGAUAGGUGGGAGGCUUUGAUCCAUGGCUUGCGGGUCAUGGUGAGCCAACGGUGAGAUACCACUCUUUCAGAGCUAGGGUUCUAACGGUCACCCGUCAUCCGGGGACCGGACAGUAUCAGGUGGGCAGUUUGACUGGGGCGGUCGCCUCCUAAAAGGUAACGGAGGCGCGCAAAGGUUUGCUCAGGCUGGUUGGAAAUCAGCCGACGAGUGCAAAAGCAGAAGCAAGCUUGACUGUGAGACCUACAAGUCGAACAGGGACGAAAGUCGGCUUUAGUGAUCCGACGGUUCUGAGUGGAAGGGCCGUCGCUCAACGGAUAAAAGUUACUCUAGGAUAACAGGCUGAUCUCCCCCAAGAGUUCACAUCGACGGGGAGGUUUGGCACCUCGAUGUCGGCUCAUCGCAACCUGGGGCUGAAGUCGGUCCCAAGGGUUGGGCUGUUCGCCCAUUAAAGCGGUACGCGAGCUGGGUUCAGAACGUCGUGAGACAGUUCGGUCCAUAUCCGGUGCACGCGCAGGAACAUUGAGAGGAUUUCUCCCUAGUACGAGAGGACCGGGAGGAACGCACCUCUGGUGUGCCAGUUAUCGUGCCAACGGUAAACGCUGGGUAGCCAUGUGCGGAGUGGAUAACCGCUGAAAGCAUCUAAGUGGGAAGCCCACCUCAAGAUGAGUGUUCCCAUGGCAUAAGCCAGUAAGGUCACGGGAAGAACACCCGUUGAUAGGCUCUACGUGGAAGCCGGGUAACCGGUGAAGCGGAGGAGUACUAAUAGACCGAGGGCUUGACC